UACAGAGGGGGCAAGCGUUAUUCGGAAUUAUUGGGCGUAAAGGGUGCGUAGGCGGUUUGGUAAGUCUGAUGUGAAAUCUAUGGGCUCAACUCAUAGUCUGCAUCGGAAACUGCCGGGCUUGAGUGUGGGAGAGGUGAGUGGAAUUCCUGGUGUAGCGGUGAAAUGCGUAGAUAUCAGGAGGAACACCUGUGGCGAAAGCGGCUCACUGGACCAUAACUGACGCUGAUGCACGAAAGCUAGGGGAGCAAACAGG
rnacentral:rRNA from 1 species